GGCAACUGCCUCGUUUGGAGGUGAUCCUAUGCUGCGUGAUUUCUUCUUCCAGAUUAUCGCCCCGCUUCUUGUGGGUGUGAUGGUCACACUGGUCGAUCAUUGGUUAGAUGGUGGCCAGUAAGCCAACUGCAGUUGCUUACUAACCCACACGCCUGAUUAGGCCCGCUUCUAAACAGGUGAAAAA
rnacentral:ncRNA from 1 species